rnacentral:rRNA from 1 species
UACGGGGGGGGCAAGCGUUGUUCGGAAUUACUGGGCGUAAAGCGUGCGCAGGCGGUUCGUUAUGUCCGAUGUGAAAGCCCCGAGCUUAACUUGGGAAUGGCAUUGGAAACUGGCGGGCUGGAGUGCGGCAGAGGGGGGUGGAAUUCCACGUGUAGCAGUGAAAUGCGUAGAGAUGUGGAGGAACACCGAUGGCGAAGGCAGCCCCCUGGGCCGACACUGACGCUCAGGCACGAAAGCGUGGGGAGCAAACAGG